rnacentral:rRNA from 1 species
CACGUAGGGGGCGAGCGUUGUCCGGAUUUAUUGGGCGUAAAGAGCUCGUAGGCGGCUCAGUAAGUCGGGUGUGAAAACUCCAGGCUCAACCUGGAGACGCCACCUGAUACUGCUGUGGCUAGAGUCCGGUAGGGGAGCAUGGAAUUCCUGGUGUAGCGGUGAAAUGCGCAGAUAUCAGGAGGAACACCCGUGGCGAAGGCGGGUCUCUGGGACGGUACUGACGCUGAGACGCGAAAGCGUGGGGAGCGAACAGG